rnacentral:tRNA from 1 species
ACUACUUUGGCAGAAUAAGUGCGUUGAAUUUAGAAUUCACCAAUGUAAAUUAUAUAUUACAAGUAGUA